GGCGAUACCUCGGGGUGCCCUGUCAGGGCUGAGAUGCGUCCGCGAACCCGUUGAACCUGAACCGGUUAAGACCGGCGGAGGGAAGGUAACUGGACAAACU
rnacentral:ncRNA from 2 species